GGCGCCCCCUUUGUCUGAGUGCGUUGCGGGCGUCAGUCUCUUCGCGCGUGAGCCUGCGGCGUGGAAGCCCCACAGGCUCCUCUGAGUUCCAUCUUCCUCAGAAACCUCAGAGGAUCAGGGAUGGCAGCGGCCAGGCUCCUGCCACCACCAGCAGGACCCCAGCCCCUGUCAUUCCAGGCCAAGGUGACCUUUGAGGAUGUGGCCGUGCUCCUCUCCCAGGAGGAAUGGGACCGCCUGGGCCCUGCUCAGCGGGGCCUCUACCGACACGUGAUGAUGGAGACCUAUGGGAACGUGGUAUCACUGGGACUUCCAGGAUCAAAGCCCAAUGUGAUCUCUCAGCUGGAGCGAGGAGAAGAGCCAUGGGUCCUGGAUGGGCAAGGGGCUGAGGAGUCUAGGGGCCUGGGGAGUGGCCAUUCAGACAACUACACACAUGACCACAUGACAGCUCGUAUGCGACAAGACAGUUCACCCUGUCCGUGGGAAUAUGAAAACAAGGGAGAGAACCAAAAUAGGGAUUUGAGUCUGAAGCCAUUUAUUUCAGAGGAAGUAUCAGUGAUUCUGGGGGAAACAUCCACAGGAUGGAUUGAUCAAAGACGUUAUGAACGUGAUCAGAGCUUCUGUGUGAGUCCAAGUCCCGUCGGCGGGCCUGAAGCCCAGGUCUUGAGCCAGAGUGUGCCUCUCCCUCAGCAUCAGGCUGUUCCCAGUGGUGAGAGACCCUACAGGUGCACCGAGUGUGGGAAAUGCUUUGGCCGGAGCUCCCAUCUGCUGCAGCAUCAGAGAACCCACACCGGAGAGAAGCCCUACGUGUGCGGCGUUUGUGGGAAGGCCUUCAGCCAGAGCUCCGUCCUCAGCAAACACAGGAGAAUCCACACGGGCGAGAAGCCCUACGAGUGUAACGAAUGCGGAAAGGCCUUUCGGGUGAGCUCGGAUCUCGCUCAGCAUCAUAAGAUCCACACGGGGGAGAAGCCCCACGAGUGUCUGGAGUGCCGGAAGGCGUUCACGCAGCUCUCGCACCUCAUCCAGCACCAACGGAUCCACACCGGCGAGCGGCCGUACGUGUGCCCGCUGUGCGGGAAGGCCUUCAACCACAGCACGGUUCUGCGCAGCCACCAGCGCGUGCACACCGGGGAGAAGCCGCACGAGUGCACGCAGUGCGGCCGCGCCUUCAGCGUCAAGAGGACGCUCCUGCAGCACCAGCGCGUGCACACAGGAGAGAAGCCCUACACGUGCAGCGAGUGCGGCCGCGCCUUCAGCGACCGCUCGGUGCUCAUCCAGCACCACAACGUGCACACCGGCGAGAAGCCGUACGAGUGCGGCGAGUGCGGCAAGGCCUUCAGCCACCGCUCGACGCUCAUGAACCACGAGCGCAUCCACACGGAGGAGAAGCCGUAUGGCUGCUACGCGUGCGGAAAGGCCUUCGUGCAGCACUCGCACCUGACGCAGCACCAGCGCGUGCACACCGGGGAGAAGCCCUACGUGUGCGGCGAGUGCGGGCACGCCUUCAGCGCCCGCCGGUCCCUGGUGCAGCACGAGAGGAUCCACACCGGCGAGAGGCCGUUCCGCUGUGCGCAGUGCGGCAAGGCCUUCAGCCUGAAGGCGACCCUGAUCGUGCACCUGCGGACCCACACCGGCGAGCGGCCCUACGAGUGCAGCCGCUGCGGCAAGGCCUUCAGCCAGUACUCGGUGCUCAUCCAGCACCAGAGGAUCCACACGGGCGAGCGGCCCUACGAGUGCGGCGAGUGCGGCCGCGCCUUCAAUCAGCACGGGCACCUGAUCCAGCACCAGAAGGUGCACAGGAAGCUGUGACCCCCUGCUGGCCCCCGGGAGCCCCCACCCAGGAGAAGCUUCUGGCAACUCUGCCGGGUGCCGUUCUCUGGCAAUUCAGUGUCCCAAGCACAUGUUCCUGUGGAAAAACCAGAGGAUGCCUGUUUUGUUUACCCCCACAUCCUGAAGUUCUGUUGCACAGUAAUCACACAAUUGUAGUGAAUUUUGGUAAAGACAGCCAUCAUUCAUUCCUUAACAUGAGACCAUCUAUUUGAAGUGAGCGGAGCCAGCAUCACAGGUGAAACUCUGGAAGCUGAGGUAGCAGGUGUACUGCACAGAGGAGAUGGGCUCCUGAAAGGAACUGACAUCACUGAUGUGUACUGCAGAGCAGCUGGGACAACAGGAGCUAAGGCAAUUGAAGGAAAAACAGGACUUGGGAUCACUAAGGUAGAUGCUAGAGAGGAGGUGAACUCGCUGAGGUAUUACUUCAGAGAUGGCUGAAACCUCUGAGGAGAUGCUGUAGAAGCCAAGCUCAUGGUGCGAUUCAGAGGAGCUGAAAUCCCUCCGAUGUUACUGCAGACAGUAGCUGAAAUCACUAGAGCCAAACUGCAGAUCAAUAGAAGUGUUACUGCAGAGAGCAGCUGGCACCGGCGAGGUGCUAGCUCGAAAAUCCCCACAGAGGGAAGCCAACAGCCCUUGCUGGCUGAGUCUAUAGCUGGCGUCUGACUCCUUGACUGCCCUUCAGAGCUCACCACUGUUGAGGGCACAAUUCCUAAUCCUGUGAAAGAGCUAGAAUAAGAAAUAGUCACGUUCCAGUUGAGACGAGAAUAAGAGUUCAGUUAAAUACAAUAUACAGAAAUACUUGUUUGGAAAGACAGUAUAUCACAGGACAACGUAAGUGAUACAGUACAAGUCAUUCUGGAUUGAUAAAUCCACCAAAUCUAGGGUUUUUGGGGAAAUCUGCAAAAUGUAUAGUUCACUUUUCAACCUUCUUAAAUGAAGUGUACUUAAUAUCAUUCUGCCUUUUCUUCCUAUCAGCUGCCAUUGACCCAUUGGUGUGUGUACAGGCUCAGGUAUCCAUGGAGCUGAAAGGUGAGCUUCAGUGCCCUUCUCCCUGGGGAGGCUCCCUGGGCCAUGCAUUUUUGUCACCUACCUCUCCAGAGACCAGGAGGUAGCACAGAACCUGCCGGAACAUAUGGGCAGUCUAUGUUUUUGGGAAGUGGCAUCAGGCACCAAAAUGACCUUUGGGGUCCCUUCACCCUGUUAAUAGCCUUCUCAGCCAUUAACUGCCCAUCUCUGACUGAUCAGCAACAUAUACCACACUUAUUUUGGAUUUUUUAAUUUUUAUUUAGACGUUUUUACAUUUUAUGCAUUUAAAUCUUUAUCCUAUUUUUCCUUACUGCUACCAAGAAUUUGACACUUAGUUCUCAAAUUUUCUAUAAUUUAGAAAACAUCCAGAAUUUUAUUUCUGUGUACUAUGUAUAAUCUGACAUUUCCCAAUAAAAAAAGGAAUGACUGGAACACCUUUUUGUGGGUGAAGGGAGAUGAAUGAUUUUGCUAUAAGGAUCUACAACAAAUCAGCGACCAGAGGACAUGAGCUGACAGUUCCCAAUAAAGGGAAGUACAAUGAGGAGAGCCUGGAAAAGGCUAAAUGUGCCAGUUUCAAAUAAAAACAUACCACCUCCUGAUCAAUUAGUAAAGGGUAUCCUGUAACACACAGAGCUCUGAAGGUGUAGGGGCAUGGGUGCUUUCAUGCCUUGCUGGUGGUAUCAGUACAAUCCACCUGUGUCAAGUAUAGGGCAUGUCAGGACCCGUCACUUCUCUGGCGAAAGAUACCUGCACAGCAGGACCCAGCUUGGCAGGUGCCAUGCAGUCCAGAGAUGGCCCUGAGGGAGACAGGAGCACUCCUAGGGGACAGGCUGGGGAAGCUCUGGCCACCAAAAGCCACUCUGUGCAGAGGGUUUGGUGGUGAAGGCCCAGGAGGACCUUUCGUGGGAGACGGGCUUGCUCCAGGGCUGAGGAAAAUCCCGGGUUGGGGGUGGGACAGCACUAUUCUGCCCCAUCUGGGUGUUUGGAGAAUAAAAGUUCCUGAGCUGAGAAAUGCAGGUCAAGUAUAAGGGUUCCCAAGACUGCCCUCCCCUCUGACACCAGUCACAAAUUUGGGAACUCCCAAGAUCACCCUUAAGUUCAGUAAUUUGCUACAAGGACUCAGAACUCGCCUUGAAACCUGAUACAUGGUUACAGUAUAUUACAGGGAACAGACAGAUAAAAUCAGACAAGGGAUUGCUUUGGGGGCAGAAUCCAGAAAAGUACCAAAUGCGGGGUCUCUGUAAAGUCAUGGACAUUACUUUCCUGGCUCUGAUGUGUGACAGUGUGAUUGGAGUAUUGCCCACAAGGGAAGCUCGCCCAAGCUUCAGUAUCCAGAAUUUUUUGAGGCUUGAUGACACUGAUACAGAUGGCCACCUGCAUGACACCUGAGUCUGCAGCCUCUCCAGAGGUUGAGUAGGUGUCACAUGGCCAAAGCCCCUCCCGUACACCACACUGUUCCUGUAGAGUCCCUGGCUCUGGCUCUGAGUAAACAAAGACUCUCAGGCAGGACACUCCAGCCACCCAGAAGUAGGACAAAGGCCAUCCCUCCCCUGGGGUCAGGUUAAUCCUUUCUGCACAA